CCUCUAAUACAAAUACCAAUUCCUCACAUCGCAUUUCUCAAAUCAGUAAACAAAAUCUUGAGAUUAGGAUGUGAAAGGUGAGGAAUUGAGCUUGAAUUCAUCAAGUCAUUCUUCUUCUUACGUAUUUGCGAGAGAUCGCAGAAAUUCUCCUCAAGAAUUUAAUUACGAUAGGCCACCAAAUUUCUGCAAUUAUGGAUUAAAGGCAACAAAAUGGGUUUCAUGGAGUGAAUCAAACCCAAGAAGAAGGUUCUAUUCAUGUCAAUAUUUAAGGUAAUUGAAUAUGGAUAUUUUAAGGUAUUCUGAAAUUUUUAUCAAUUAGUGUUACAGAUAAAUUCUCAUUUUUUUCUUCUAGAUGACAGCCAAAAGGAUGUCAUUCUUCGAGUGGCACCAUGAGAAGAUGAGUGAGAGGGCUGUGAAUGUCAUAAAUGAUUUGAGGGUAAAUUUUUUUACUGUCAAUGAAGGCAAUGCACAUUCUUAUCAAUUGAUAAGGGAUAGAUAUGAUAUUCGUGCACAGGAAAUGGAGGUUGAGAUGCAAGUUGUAUUAUGUGAUUUGCUUGAGCAGAAGAAUGAAUUUAAUAACCUCAAGGGAAGAGUAUUUUGGUUAUGGAUUGGUCUUGGGUUAAUGUUGGUGUUUUGCACUUUGCUCUGUUAUGGGAGAUAUCUGUAGAGCAUGUCUGACCUGUGCUUAGCUUAUUUUAUACAAUUUAUUACUCUGUUAGCUUUGCAUAGCUUGUCACAAUGUAGUUAGAUGCAGGAACUUAUUAUGUAAUAUUGAAUUUUGAUUUCAAUGGGAAUGAGAAAUACUAGAAAUGGUUUUAUU
rnacentral:lncRNA from 1 species